AAAAGGCCACUAACCACCAUCACCAUUACUCAGAAGCUGUACAGCUUCUGGCGUGGCAUUUCGCCUUAAUAUUGCACUAAACUUAAAUUUUUCCUCGUUAUCCGUAAUGCAAAUAACGGCGUCCUUAUUGGCGCUCUGCGCCGCCUGUUUAGUUGGCACAGUUGCUCAUUUUGGCCAAGCUGCUCCUGUUGGUGAUCGAUUGCAAGAAAUGACGGUAGCCAUACAGCCUUCGUUCAGCAAAGGACUCGUUCAUUUAUCAAAUCUGUUUGAUUUGGUUAUGAAUUAUGACGAAACGGUCGGUAGUGGCUCCAUGGACAAUGAUGCAACAAUUCCUUAUUCAAACAGCUAUCCGAUCGGCCUCAAAUUCGCUCAACGAUACGGAAGCCAUCACCGUUCAUCACAUGAAAUUAUAUGAAGCCACUUUGCUUUCUUUGGCUACUGAUAUUUCUGCGAAAGAGGCUCAACUCCGCACUGACAACACUGAACUAGAGCAGUUGACGAUCGAAGUGAAUAAAUGGCAAGGUGAAGCGGCAAAACUUGGCCAAGAAAUUGCAGAACUUGAUAAUAAAGUGCGCGAUGCUGACCAACGAGCCGCACAUUCUCAAUCAAGGGUUCAAAGGAGACGAAAGAAUAGAUGGAAAUGGAUUGCAGCAACGGUUAUUACAGGCGGUUUAGCAACUCCAGGCCUUGUCCUCAACGAGAGAGAUAUACAAAAACUGAAAAGAGAUCGUGAUGCUUGGCAGGCUCAGGCCAAUGAACGCCGGCAAUUACUUCAGGUAGCAGAAAACAACCUUCGCGAAAUUUCAACUCGCCAACAAGCCACAGAAGAAUCUAUUCAAAAGACGCGGGCGAUUCUUGUGUCUUCUCAAGCGAUUCUGGAACAACUCCGGGCGCAGUAUGCAAUUUUGGGUGGUCUCGGGGCCCAGAUUAGAAAUGUUUCCACUUUUUUGUUCUCGUUGAACGGAGAAAUGGGCGUUAUUCACGGCCAGCAACAGUUGAUGGUUCUCUUCAGUCCUUUGUUGGAAUCUGUUAACAGUUUGGUUACUUUCCUUGAAGACAACGCCAAUAUGGUAGUUUUAAUAGGUGACAGAGAAGCUGUCUCCAAAAUCCGCCAACACCUUUCGCAAAACGUUAUGCCAGCAUUGGGAAACUGAGGAAAAAAACUUACACUUUGACCAGAACGUAGCUAUUUUAGCUGGUUUUCAAAGCUAAUUCCAAGCAAUUUAAACUUAAAUCAAUGUAAAAUCGUACUCAAAUUUUUCCUGCCCACUGUUGCAACAUUGUAUUUCCGAUGUCUUAAAAUUGGAUUUUGAGUAUUUACAUCAAGGUAACAUGAAACGAUGUACCUUAGUUGAAUAUGUAAAAGAAUUCUCAAUAAAAGCAAAAACUUUA